rnacentral:rRNA from 1 species
AACGAACGCUGGCGGCGUGGAUAAGACAUGCAAGUCGAACGGGAGUUUAUUUAUAGCAAUAUGAGUGAACUCUAGUGGCGAAAGGGUGCGUAACACGUAGCUACCUACCUCGAAGUUGGGGAUAGCUCGGCGAAAGCCGGAUUAAUACCGAAUGUGAUCGUGAGAUCAAAGCUGGGGAUCGUAAGACCUGGCGCUUUGAGAUGGGGCUGCGGCCUAUCAGCUAGUUGGCGGGGUAACGGCCCACCAAGGCUUGGACGGGUAGCUGGUCUGAGAGGACGACCAGCCACACUGGAACUGAGACACGGUCCAGACACCUACGGGUGGCAGCAGUCGAGGAUUUUCUCAAUGGGGAAACCCUGAAGAGCGACGCCGCGUGAGGA